UACGGGGGGAGCAAGCGUUGUUCGGAUUUACUGGGCGUAAAGGGCGCGUAGGCGGCCACCGCAAGUCGAUUGUGAAAUCUCCGGGCUUAACCCGGAAAGGUCAACCGAUACUGCGGGGCUAGAGUGCAGAAGGGGCAACUGGAAUUCUCGGUGUAGCGGUGAAAUGCGUAGAUAUCGAGAGGAACACCUGCGGCGAAGGCGGGUUGCUGGGCUGACACUGACGCUGAAGCGCGAAAGCCAGGGGAGCAAACGGG
rnacentral:rRNA from 1 species